CUCUCCGAGCACAUCGUCCUCACCUCCACCAUCCUCUCCUACCUCCCACCCCAUCGCCGCCCCACCCACCUUCUCCGUGGCUCCCGUCGACGCCUCACCCUCCACCUUCUCCGCGGCUGCCACCAGCGCCUAGCCCCCUACCUUAUCUUCGGCUCCAGCCGGCGCCUUGCCCUCCACCUUCUCCGCGGCUCCCGCCGUACCUAGCCCCUUGCCUUAUCUCUAGCUCUCGCCGGCGCCUCACCCCCACCAUCUCCCCGGCCCCCACCGAUGCCUCGCCCCCAACCUUCUCUGCAGCCCCUGCCAGUGCCUCGCCCUCACCUACUCACCAGGUCCCAUGUGAUGCUCUCCUCCAUGCUGCCGUCCUCCCCAUUUCUAAACUACCGCUAGCCACCGGCUUGAUCUUCACCAGAGUCACCAUGCCCCCUGUUCUCCACUACCAUCCGUGGCCGCACUAUCCUGUUGACAUCCUCUGCUACCUCCGCCUAGGCGACACCACCAUUAGCUCCUCCCGCUGGUAUCCUCCUCUGCACCAAGUUGCUGCGGUUUGCAUCCAGUGAAAAAGCUAUUCGGCAAGUGCACUGUAGCAGGUAGCUAGAAACGAAGAUGAAGCUUCUUUGGUAUGUUACUGACCUUGUGCACCUACUGAACUUCAGUGGCUAUUUUUGUUGAACUUGAAUGUGUUGUGGUAUUAUUGAAGUGUAGAACUUGUAUUAUGGCUGAUUCUAAAUUGAUGUUGGUUGCAUUUGUGAUGUUUUUGCUUGUGCCAAAAAAACUGGUGACUUGUUUUGCUUAUGCCGAUCCCACAGUCGCUGCCGUCUGCGCCCCACAUCCCCGAGCCACCCGUCGUCGGCUCCUGCUACGCAGAGAUCCAACAAAGAUAUAUUUUGGGUAAUUUUUGGUCAGUUAAUAUUUCGGCGACGUGCUAAGUUUAGUUUCUUAAUUUACUUCAGUGCAAUUUCUUACUUUUGGUUGGGCUCAAAUUCUUAUUUCAGUUUAGUUCAGUUUAGCAAGAAGAAUAUCUUUGUUGUAACUUGUCUUGGAUUUAUUAGUGUCAUACUUUCCUACAAAGCGAAAGCAUAAUGUUGUUUCACGUCAUAAGGUUUUCUCUGAAACAUAGCGGACAUAAGAUAAUGAAGCAAUAUAAACUCUACUGUCUCAUCAAGAUCUUAUCAUGAUACUUAUUUGAGCAAUUCAUCCAUUUUGUUGGGGUUCAACCUACCGGUUCCAGUAUUCAAGUUUAUUUAGCUUCUGACUUCAAAUUCUGAACAUCUUAUGUUACUUGUGCAUACAAGGGGGAAACUGAUUCUGAACAUCUUGCGAGGCUCCCUGCUGGAUAUCGGCGCUAGAGGGGAGCGGACACCGUCGUUGCCCCGCGCCCAUAGACUUCUCUUCUGCACUUUCCUCUUAAACAUUCACACGGAAAGAAUAGAGCUACUCCGUACAAAUUGUGCGUCGGUGUCAGAACAUGUUAUACUAAUUAGUAAGUUCAAGAACUAUGUUCCAAAUUGAGCUUAGACAAGGAGACAGGGAUAUAUUGACAGAAUGUUGUGUUGUGUGCUGUUAGUUCAGGGGGAAAAAGCAGAGACUCGUCAUGGGUUAUGAAGUAGACAGAGUACAUAAGAUGCCUACCGUGGUCUAUGAAGUACAUGCAAAAAGAUGCCACUCGCUGCCGGCGCUCUCUUGUCGUGACGAACAGGCCAAGCAAGGUGACUACGUGAGAAGGGUCAACAUUAGCGGGAGUAGGGUAUGGAUGAGGAAGAGCAGCAGUAUCUUCACUGCUGCUGCUGAUUUGUUUCCAUCCAAUUAGUUGACCAUCUCAGUACAACUAUUAUUGGGUGUGCCAAAACUAGAUGCUUUACUGCCUUAUUAUUAUCACUAGUGCUUUGUUUUCAUAUUGCUCCUUCAGUCCAACCUGACCCUGCAUCCCACUCAGCCAUCCGGUCUGACAUCAUCUUCGUAUUCUUCGACUCCUCUCACUCCACAAGAUUUUUGCCCAUUUUUCAGUUCUACACUAAUGUUGCUUCUAAUGGGUGUAUGUGUGAUUAUUGGUCCGUGCUUGUCUUAGUGGGCGCUAGGAGGAAACUUUAGAAAAAAAAUGUGUUAAUGGAGAUGCAUGGGAGUUGUGCCUCUUAGGUGUUUUCUUUUAUAACUGACGACACCAAGGUGGGGGGAAAUUUUGUUCGUCAGUUGUACGGAAUUAUUCAUCGUUCAUCAGUUGCUUAGAGGAUGGUUUCCUUGGAGAAACAUCUCUACUGAAUUAGGUGUUGAAAAUGUUUUCUUGUGAAUGUUUCAGUGGGGGCUCAGUUACUGCUCUAAAUCAAACAAUUUGGAGGAGCAAUGCAUGAGAAACAAGUCUCCCAACGAUGACAAGGGUACGACCGGCGACAACGAGUAGGUGGCACGUGUACCAUAGCGAUGAGACUGAGGUAUGAAGCAGAUGUGCAUGGUGAGCUCUCGUUUCAUAAGUUCAAGUGCUUACCCCCUAUAAAGUUCAGAGAAAAAACAUUAUGUUGCUUAUUGCUCGGUCCUAUAAGGAGCGAGCGAAGGAAUUCCCACCUAAUCUACCUUGUUCUGCAACACCAGCCCGCCACCGCGACCUCUCCUCUUACAACGCGCCGCCGGGGCCUCCCCCUUUCCCAGUGCGCCACCGGGGCCUCCCCCUUCCCGCAGCACGCCGCCAUGGCCUCCCCUCUUCCCCUGCGCGCCGCCCUGCCCCCACCUUCUCCCUCCGCUUCGGCCACUGCUCCCCACCUUCUCCCUCGGCUCCGGCCGCCGCUCCCCACCUUCUCCCUCGGCUUCGUCCGCCACCCCGCACUCCAAUCCAUGGAUUGAGCCGUCGAGGUUGCCCUACCCCAGAUCGCGCCGCCCAGGACCAUCCGUCGCCACCACGACCGCCUGAACCAAGUUCUCCCGCGCUGCCGCUAUCUUUCCUUACUCCGCCGCAAGCCGAGCACCUCCUCACCUCCAUUGCUGUUCAGCACAUCCUCCAGUUCCUCCCAUGGUGGAUGUGCUUGUCCACUCCUACCGCUGGCCGAUCUCACUCCAAUCCCUCCACAAUGCUACCUCCUCUCGCCGGUGGGGCUCCGUCGCUGCAGCGCCCCGGCCGUUCAGUGCGGCCACCAUGAGCCGUUCGACGAGACAACGUCAAGCCGUUCAAUGUCGUAGCUCAGGACGGUGCCUACUUUCCCUCGCUGGAUCCGCCAUAGCCGCGCCCUUCCACCAUCGCUGACGCCUCCUUCCAAGCUUCCAUGGCACCCCGCAGCCACCCAAUGACGGCUCCCUGUGGGCACAACUUGCUGCCGAUGACCUCUUUUCACAGCUCACCUCUGAGGCCCACUAGACCCACACGACGACGCUGGCCGUCCACAACCACCACCCCAGGCCGUUCACAGCAACCACUCCUAGCCGAUCUCAAAACCACCGCAAAGUGCAGACCAUACAGGAGGACAGGGCUGAUGUAUGUUCUUGCCUGUGUCAACUGAUUUGUGCCAGACUUUCACCAAAAAAUGACCUCAGUCCUCAGCUCUAACAUGGCAAUAAUUUUCAGUUGCACGAGGAGGCAGCAAGAAAGAGCUAAGCGAUCCAAUAGAGUUUAUUGAUUGAAGAUGUUCACCUUUUGUGUGAUUUUCAGUUCACAUUUGCCAUGAUAUUCAGUUUAGCCGGCUUACUAUUUCAUCACCAGGUAAACUAAAAGCUCUGUGUCUGAUAGAAUAUCUCAUGUUAUAACUUAUAAAUUUGUCUAGAUGCAAGGAACAAAUCUCGGACCAACUUUUGCUUCAUUGAUAUAAAUCAUGCUGUGUUUUGUCGACAACAUGGUAGGCUUUUUCAGUUCAUUGUAGGUUGUUUACUUUCUCUCUUUGCUUAGCACAAAAUUUCGCAAAUGCCUAGCACAAAUAAAACUUGUUUGAUACAUGGGUAGGUUCACGAAAACUUGUAGUAGUAGUUCGUUGAAAGGAUUCACAUUAGUUCAAACAUUUUUGAAUGUUCAGUAAAAGUUCAAAUAGACUAGAGGCUUUCAACUCAUCCGAAAAAGCCUAAAGCAACAGUACAAUGCUAGAAAAAAUCAGUUCAAAAAAAUAUGUUGGGAGGUUUGUCGGAAUGAGAGAAAAACAUUAGUUCAAUUUUUCCGUACCAUCACUUUUAUUGCUAAAUGAUUUAGACACUUGUUUUCUUGAUGCCAUUAGGUAUUUAGUUAAGUACUUCAGCUCAACAAAAAGCUCCAGAAAAUUUCAGAGUUUGUUUUUAGAAAAGCUCCAUGGUGUUUCUUCGGCUACAACAUCCAUGCAUCCAAGUCGAGCUCUGGCCGCAGUCCAAGUGGAACUGCGACCACCAUCUUCACCCAGCGCUGCACCCAUUGAGCACCCACACACACGAGGGAGGCUGGAGCGACUGCAGACCGGUGACGAGAACCACUUCAGUUCUGCUAUUCGUGUAUUGGAAGUACGUAUCCUCUAUCCAUGCAGGAGGUAGAUGUAAUUUCUCCCCGAAUACCACCUAUUUUGGAAGUAGCCUGAGACUCAUCAUGUCCUAUAUACAGAUUCAGAGUAUAAUACAUCAAUGGAAGUUUGUUCUAAAAAUUGGAAUUGUUCUGGAUCUACUAAUAGAUUAGUUGUUAAGUAUUGGAGUGUUUCGUUCUUGUUUUGGCAAAUGGAAAUAUAUAAGACAAAUGUACUGUUAGAUUCAGAACGAACCAGUACACCAAACAGAAAAAAGCAAAAUAAAAAACUCACUCCAGGCCAUCUCCACCAAAUCCGAAGCGUGUCAACCCCCGACACAAUGCCCGCCACCACCCUCGGGCAAACCUUCCACCACCUCCACCGUCGCCCCACUCCACCUCCCGUCCACACGCCCGUCGCCAUGCUCCUCCUUGCUGUUCAAAUUCAUGUUUUGGUUAGGUCCAAAGAAACUCGUAAUUUUGAUUAAUGAUGAAUUGUGUUUUCUCGUAGAAAAAUGAUGCUCUGUGGGUGGUUUAGCAGUUCGCCAUGUAUAUCUACCAUUACUCUGUAAAAGUACAAGUAUGUACUGAUGCUAAAAAUGAUGCUCUGUAGAAUUUCUUCUUAUCUAGUUCGAAUUUGGUCUACUUGAGUAAUUCUGUUAGUUCAUGACAAGUAUGUAUUGAUGCUAGAAAUGUAUGUCAUUUGUGAAUCAUGCUUUUUUCAGAGAGGAAAAGAGUUUGUAGUUGCAUCACAUGGUGUACUGAGCAACAUAAACAUGGUUUCUUUCUUAAAUUAGUUAUUUUUGGUUAAUUCGUUUACGUGGACAGUACAAAUGCACAUUGUUGUGUAGUACAUGUGUGUAUUGUGAAUGUAAUUUCGGUUUUUAGUUAACAAAAAAAUAACAAAAAGUUUCAUAAAAGAACCCAAAACAUCCGAUAGUCCUGGAAGUCCAAAUUUCAGUACAUCAUGUUUUCUAUCAUCAGCUCAUUAAGAACCCAUAAACAAUUCAAUGUGUGUGUUCAAAAUGGGAAGCACGGUUCAUAGGGAUGUUGUCCAUCAUCACUGAUUGAUUAAAGCACACGCGCGCGCACACACACACAUGCUACCAGAUAGUGCUAUUAAAAAGGUGAAUUUGUUCCUUGCAUGGAUGAACCAGUGACACUACUCUUGCAUAGAAAUUUUCCUUUUGCAAAAAGUAGUUCUGACAAAAAGAAGCAAAAGUCAUGUUUAUCUGGUUGCAAAAAUGAUGCUUGAUAGGUGUUACCAUGUAUAUAUAAUUCGCUUUAUAAUCUUUUUGCAAAAAGUAGUUCAGACAAAAAGAAGCAAAAGUCAUGUUUAUCUGGUUGCAAAAAUGAUGCUUGAUAGGUGUUACCAUGUAAAAUUAUAAGAACUGUAGUGGCAUUUGUCCAGCACACAAACAGAGUGUGAGGUACCAAAGAACGUCAGGCAUGAGGAUUUUGGAAGAAAUGACAGAGGUACACACAGCUGUGAGACUUGGUGCAUUUUUAAAUAGAUUUCUCUGGAAGAACUCUCUGUUUGCUUUAUUAUCUUUUACCAUGUACAUAUAAUUCGCUUUAUAAUUUGUUGCUUGUGUACAAAUGACUUGCAUCUGGUGUACAAACAAAUCUAUUUUCAAUUUCAGAAAGUUCGAAAAGAGUAGUCUUGGAAGUACAAGGGCAAAAGUUACUGGGUUCAACAAAAACGAAAAUGUUAGUUUCUCUUUUAUGUGAUUUUCAGUUCUUCCCCACGCUCUUUUGUUAUGCUCUGGCGAAAAAAUGACUAAAGUUAUAGAAAAAAAAGUACAAACUUUUAAAAAAGUUUAUUUUUUGAACUUCUCCCAAUUAAUAUACUGAACUUGAUUAUCUUUUUAAUAGUACUUGCAUCAGCUCGACGGAAUUGGUGUGUGUGCUUGUAACACAAUCAGUUCAGAUCUCGAGAGACAUAAGUUUGUUGACAAAUAUGUAUAUUAGUUCAUAUCUCAAGAGUCCAUAAUUUUGUAAGGCCAGAAAAUGCAAUGGCUUAGUACAUCACAGCAGCUCUCGGAUGCAGAAAGGAUGGCUCUUCCCAAGUCAGCAGCUAACCAAACUGACAACUUCAGGGUAGCUCAGUCAAUAUAGGAGCUGUGCAGUAAACAGCUUCAGUCGAGAAAUCAGCAAGUUAUAAUGCAUAGUGUCUUCCAGGCACCUGUUUGUUGUUUCCUAAUCACCCUAAUUCCUAAAAUAUUCUACUCAACUUCAGCGCCAUGCUCAGUCCAACCACAUGGCUUCAGGGUGCCCGAGUUCGUCGCCACCAACAGUUCGGAGACUCUGCCACUGUUUGUGUCACGACCAUGGCCACCUGUGUCACUGUGUGCUCUGUCAACAACCUCCUGCGCAAGGAAAAGCAACAGCAGUAGAGCCGUCUGAGAUGCUCUUUGUAAUACUUUGGCCGCAAUGUACUUGUGUAUCUUUUUCUAAAUGGAGCACAACCAGAGAUUAUGUCAUUAUGAACUUUGAUUGUGAUGGUACUACAAACUCUAUAAAAACACCAGUAAUCCAUUUUUACUGUUACUUAUCUUUUAUACAAUUCAUAUGGAUUGUGCUCCCUAUUA